GUUUGGAAAUCGGGCGAGUGGAAGCCGCGAAAGCCUUUGCUUCCUACGCCCCUGUUGCACAAAACACGGAGGCAGCGCAAUCCUAAACGCAUUCGCAUCCCCGCGGCUGGCAAUCCGCUGCCUCCAGCGCUUUUGCAACCAGCCAGCUUGUUUGCGCCGAUCUCUGCUGGUUUUUAAUGCCCGGUUCCAGACUAGAUAAUCCAAACAGAAAUAAAACGUAACCAGUUCAGUGUGUGCAACACAAGCUAUCCCCGAGCAUCAUCACCUGUUUUCAAAAGGUGUGUGAGAAAGGAUAGCUAGAAAUGCAGGUGUUUAAUUUCCAGUGCGGUAGCCCCGGGAGUGUCUCCCAGCAAAAAAGUGGUAUAAGCUUUCCUGGACUACAUAGAACUAGAGUCCACUAAAAAUACCAUAAUAAACGGGCUAGUUUUUGUGGUUGCACAAGACUCUUCGAAUUUUUAAUUUUAAUUUUAAUUUUUUUGCAGAUAUACUGUAUAAUAAAUUUCCUGGUUCUCAUUAUCUAGCAAACUCCACUGAACACCUGAGCAAGAACUUCCCGCUUGCUUGCAACUUCUGUGAGCUGCUUCGCACGGUAGUCGGGCCUAUGGAGAGAGAAGCUCCCAUUUUCUGAAACCUAGCAGUGAAAACCAGCUAUUAGAUGCAUCUCCUGUACCAGCAGCCAGCUCUGUAGGUAGCCUAAAAUGUGGAGCAACUUUCCUAUGUGUGCCUUAACAGCAAGCAAAAGCCCUAGCCAGAUCAAAAACCCCGCCAGAUCAAUCUUCAUAUGCAGCCCUUAUGGUGUAAACAUGAGAAAUAUGAGCGGGGUAACUGAACAUGAAUGCAAAUCACACUGUCACAGUAAUAAACUACCUGAAACAUUGACACACAAAAGCAACACCAUAUGUAUGAAGACAACCUGUAUGAAUUAUAAAUUACAUCAUAAAAAUUGAUUGCCUAUUUUAACCAUUCAGAAACACACAGACACACACACACCCCAAACUGCUGUUGACUGUCUUCAUGCUCCCCUUGGAAGGUCACCUCAGCCUCCCUGCCUGCAGAUGAUCUCAGGUAUUUUGCAAAGCCAAUGCACAUUUUGGCUUCUGCCAUGGGCCCAUUUUUAAUGCAAUUGAGGAAUUAUGAUUCAGAUUUAAACAGGUAUGCUGAAUCAAGAAUUCUUAAUUAUAUGAAGCAGUUUCCUUUAACACACACACACACACACACACACACACCACUAUCCCCCUGUACUAUUUAAGUUAAUUGGAACCUGUUCAUUGGUGUAACCCAGGACAAGCUUUUGAGUGAAACAGAUUCCUUUCACUUUUACACAUUGAGGCCACUAAGGACAAUUUUAUAAUGCAAUUAAUAGCAUCACCUAGUCGCUACUGGUUAUUAAAAAAAAGUUCAGCAGCCGAGAGUGAGUUUGCUCCUGGCUCAACCAACUGGUGAUGGCUGUUUCCUGUUCGUGCCACACUUCCAAGGUGCCGCGUGCACAUUCUGCUCUUUUGUGAUUCCAUUUCAUGAGUGAGCUUACUAAGGUUUCCACCCCACAGCAGCCCAAGGCUGGGCAGGGAGCUUUCCAGACCUGCAAGAUCAAGGGUCACUCCACCAGACCAUCUUGAUCGUCGUGUGGCUUAGGUAGAUUGGAAAAGUUGCCAACCUGUUUGGAGUCUCGUGCUGAAUACUGGCUCGGUAUGAAAAUGGUUGUUAUUUAAUUCUUCUGUCCAACGAAUUACUAGAGCAGCUCACAGAAGCUACCGCUGUUUACCCUCCCUCCCUUUGAAUCUUCUGUUGUUGAAAUUUUAGACGGCAAGCUCCUGCGAGGGGAAGGGAGGCUUUGCUGCUCACAUUAUUCUGAAAUCUUUGCUGCUUAUGUUACUCUGUAAAGUGCUAUCUACAGCAAUGGGGCGAUGCUUAAGACUACCA